AACGCGAAGAACCUUACCAGGUCUUGACAUCCCGAUGCAAACUCUAGAGAUAGAGUCCUUCUUCGGAACAUUGGAGACAGGUGGUGCAUGGUUGUCGUCAGCUCGUGUCGUGAGAUGUUGGGUUAAGUCCCGCAACGAGCGCAACCCUUGAUCUUAGUUGCCAGCAGGUUAAGCUGGGCACUCUAAGGUGACUGCCGGUGACAAACCGGAGGAAGGUGGGGAUGACGUCAAAUCAUCAUGCCCCUUAUGACCUGGGCUACACACGUACUACAAUGGCUGGUACAACGGGAAGCGAAGCCGCGAGGUGGAGCGUACCUAUAAAGCCAGUCUCAGUUCGGAUUGUAGGCUGCAACUCGCCUACAUGAAGUCGGAAUUGCUAGUAAUCGCGGAUCAGCAUGCCGCGGUGAAUACGUUCCCGGGCCUUGUACACACCGUAUCUC
rnacentral:rRNA from 1 species